rnacentral:tRNA from 1 species
GUCGGGAUAGCUCACCUGGUA